rnacentral:rRNA from 1 species
GAUGAACGCUGGCGGCGUGCCUAAUACAUGCAAGUCGAGCGAACGGACGAGAAGCUUGCUUCUCUGAUGUUAGCGGCGGACGGGUGAGUGACACGUGGAUAACCUACCUAUAAGACUGGGAUAACUUCGGGAAACCGGAGCUAAUACCGGAUAAUAUUUUGAACCGCAUGGUUCAAAAGUGAAAGACGGUCUUGCUGUCACUUAUAGAUGGAUCCGCGCUGCAUUAGCUAGUUGGUAAGGUAACGGCUUACCAAGGCAACGAUGCAUAGCCGACCUGAGAGGGUGAUCGGCCACACUGGAACUGAGACACGGUCCAGACUCCUACGGGAGGCAGCAGUAGGGAAUCUUCCGCAAUGGGCGAAAGCCUGACGGAGCAACGCCGCGUGAGUGAUGAGGGUCUUCGGAUCGUAAAACUCUGUUAUUAGGGAAGAACAUAUGUGUAAGUAACUGUGCACAUCUUGACGGUACCUAAUCAGAAAGCCACGGCUAACUACGUGCCAGCAGCCGCGGUAAUACGUAGGUGGCAAGCGUUAUCCGGAAUUAUUGGGCGUAAAGCGCGCGUAGGCGGUUUUUUAAGUCUGAUGUGAAAGCCCACGGCUCAACCGUGGAGGGUCAUUGGAAACUGGAAAACUUGAGUGCAGAAGAGGAAAGUGGAAUUCCAUGUGUAGCGGUGAAAUGCGCAGAGAUAUGGAGGAACACCAGUGGCGAAGGCGACUUUCUGGUCUGUAACUGACGCUGAUGUGCGAAAGCGUGGGGAUCAAACAGGAUUAGAUACCCUGGUAGUCCACGCCGUAAACGAUGAGUGCUAAGUGUUAGGGGGUUUCCGCCCCUUAGUGCUGCAGCUAACGCAUUAAGCACUCCGCCUGGGGAGUACGACCGCAAGGUUGAAACUCAAAGGAAUUGACGGGGACCCGCACAAGCGGUGGAGCAUGUGGUUUAAUUCGAAGCAACGCGAAGAACCUUACCAAAUCUUGACAUCCUUUGACAACUCUAGAGAUAGAGCCUUCCCCUUCGGGGGACAAAGUGACAGGUGGUGCAUGGUUGUCGUCAGCUCGUGUCGUGAGAUGUUGGGUUAAGUCCCGCAACGAGCGCAACCCUUAAGCUUAGUUGCCAUCAUUAAGUUGGGCACUCUAAGUUGACUGCCGGUGACAAACCGGAGGAAGGUGGGGAUGACGUCAAAUCAUCAUGCCCCUUAUGAUUUGGGCUACACACGUGCUACAAUGGACAAUACAAAGGGCAGCGAAACCGCGAGGUCAAGCAAAUCCCAUAAAGUUGUUCUCAGUUCGGAUUGUAGUCUGCAACUCGACUACAUGAAGCUGGAAUCGCUAGUAAUCGUAGAUCAGCAUGCUACGGUGAAUACGUUCCCGGGUCU